UUUGAGGGAAUUGCAUCCUAUUUAUAUUUAAAACUGAUACCUGGUAUUGUUUAAAAUUUGCAGCCACUUAGUUCAGUUCUACACAUCCAACAACAGCACAUAAGGGAGGUGUGAAGCAACUGCCUCAGAAAACAGCAGCCAUCACCUUGACAACGAAGUCCAGGGGUCAGGAGACCGCGCUAGAAGCUCACUGAGGUAUGAGAAAUGGAGGACGCAGGGGACACUGGAAGAUUCUCGUUGACCAGUUGAGUUCUGAGGAUCGCGAGGGAGCCCGCCGUUCCUUCUCAGGGAGAACGGAGCCUGAGUUCUGCCAACUGAAGCAAGAUUGGAAAACAGAGAAAUACAAUCAAUCAGUGAAAAACUAUACACAAAGACAGAACAACAACCAAUGUGCUAAAGAAGACAAUCUCUGCAAAUAAAAAUAUACAGAGGGUGGCCUCACCCCAGCGCAAAUGGUCAUGACCGGGAAUGCGAAUGGGAAUAAAAACGUUUGCUCGCCGGGAAGUUCUGCUUUUGGCUCGAUUCACGACAGGUCUCACCAAUGUAGAGGGAGCACCAGACACAAUAGACGACCGCAGCAGAUUCGCAGCACAUUCCAGGCACCCAUCAGUGACUGUGUGAAAAACAUGCCUGGGACAUCUCCUUUGAACUUACCCCUCUCACCGAAAAAGCACGGCCUCUGAAAUGUCUGAAAUUAGACAUUACAACCCUGGAAAAAAGAUACUGGCUCUCUAUUCCAUC